rnacentral:rRNA from 1 species
UACGUAGGGUGCGAGCGUUAAUCGGAAUUACUGGGCGUAAAGCGUGCGCAGGCGGUUUUGUAAGACAGGUGUGAAAUCCCCGGGCUUAACCUGGGAACUGCAUUUGUGACUGCAAGGCUAGGGUGUAGCAGAGGGGGGUAGAAUUCCACGUGUAGCAGUGAAAUGCGUAGAUAUCGGGAGGAACACCUGUGGCGAAAGCGGCGCACUGGACCACUACUGACGCUGAGGCGCGAAAGCUAGGGGAGCAAACAGG